CGGGCGAACGGGUGAGUAACACGUAGGUGAUCUGCCCAUCAGACGGGGACAACGAUUGGAACGAUCGCUAAUACCGGAUAGGACGAAAGUUUAAAGAUGCUCCUGGCAUCACUGAUGGAUGAGCCUGCGGCGCAUUAGCUAGUUGGUGGGGUAAAGGCCUGCCAAGGCGACGAUGCGUAGCCGACCUGAGAGGGUGAACGGCCACACUGGGACUGAGACACGGCCCAGACUCCUACGGGAGGCAGCAG
rnacentral:rRNA from 1 species